rnacentral:rRNA from 1 species
GAUGAACGCUAGCGGCAGGCCUAACACAUGCAAGUCGAGGGGUAACAGGGAGUGCUUGCACUUCGCUGACGACCGGCGCACGGGUGCGUAACGCGUAUACAAUCUACCUUUUGCUGAGGGAUAGCCUUUGGAAACGAAGAUUAAUACCUCAUAGUAUGUAGGGAUGGCAUCAUCCUUAUAUUAAAGGUUACGGCAAAAGAUGAGUAUGCGUUCUAUUAGCUAGAUGGUGUGGUAACGGCACACCAUGGCAACGAUAGAUAGGGGCCCUGAGAGGGGGAUCCCCCACACUGGUACUGAGACACGGACCAGACUCCUACGGGAGGCAGCAGUGAGGAAUAUUGGACAAUGGGCGCAAGCCUGAUCCAGCCAUGCCGCGUGCAGGAGGACUGCCCUAUGGGUUGUAAACUGCUUUUAUACAGGAAGAAACCGCUCUACGUGUAGAGCCUUGACGGUACUGUAAGAAUAAGGAUCGGCUAACUCCGUGCCAGCAGCCGCGGUAAUACGGAGGAUCCAAGCGUUAUCCGGAAUCAUUGGGUUUAAAGGGUCCGUAGGUGGAUAAUUAAGUCAGAGGUGAAAUCCUGCAGCUCAACUGUAGAAUUGCCUUUGAUACUGGUUAUCUUGAAUUAUUGUGAAGUAGUUAGAAUAUGUAGUGUAGCGGUGAAAUGCAUAGAUAUUACAUAGAAUACCAAUUGCGAAGGCAGAUUACUAACAAUAUAUUGACACUGAUGGACGAAAGCGUGGGGAGCGAACAGGAUUAGAUACCCUGGUAGUCCACGCCGUAAACGAUGGUCACUAGCUGUUCGGAUUUAUCUGAGUGGCUAAGCGAAAGUGAUAAGUGACCCACCUGGGGAGUACGUUCGCAAGAAUG